CCUAUUUUAGAAACAUGAAAAAAAAAACGUACAGCAUAAUACUCCAUCUGAUCAGCAACGAGAAAUUUCAUUAGACCAAAGAAUAAUUCUCGUAGAAAACAAUAUACAAGUUUCGUGCACCGCUUCGAUCUUGUGUUCCGUUUUAUCGCAUUGUUGAAUUCGAGUUUUAUUUGAAGGGAAGUAAGGUGGAAGAAUAUCAUUUCUUUGCACAUAAGACGAACAGACGAUGGAUUGAACUUAGCAUUGUUAUGGAACAGGAAGUUGAAAGGUACAUAUAGUCGGUUUGGUGACCCUUUAGCAUAGGACUUCUACUCAGCUGUCUUGGAGAGCUCCAUUGUUCCGGAGCCUAGACUCUGGGUAUAGAUCUUUUGAUGUAUAUAUAUAUAUAUAUAUAUGUUUAUCCAGGGGUACGGCGGGGCCCUGUCCCGUCAUAUAUCACUAUCGAUACUCUUAGAGGUCUGUAGACAUAUGUGUGGGUUGUGUAUAAGUUUGUUCGGCUGUGUCUAUACGAUGUGCUAUGGAUAUGUUCGUCUGUAAUGGUAGCCUUGUCGGCUUGCGUAUGGUACUGAUAUGUAGUGGCAGCCUUGUCGGCUUGCGUAUCGUGUUGAUACAUUGUGGCAGCCUUGUCGGCUUGCGUAUCAUAUUAUGUUUUGAUCAGUUGUGACUCCU